rnacentral:rRNA from 1 species
GACGAACGCUGGCGGCGCGCCUAACACAUGCAAGUCGAACGAGAGAGAGGAAGCUUGCUUCCUCAAUCGAGUGGCGAACGGGUGAGUAACGCGUGAGGAACCUGCCUCAAAGAGGGGGACAACAGUUGGAAACGACUGCUAAUACCGCAUAAGCCCACGGGUCGGCAUCGACCAGAGGGAAAAGGAGCAAUCCGCUUUGAGAUGGCCUCGCGUCCGAUUAGCUAGUUGGUGAGGUAAUGGCCCACCAAGGCGACGAUCGGUAGCCGGACUGAGAGGUUGAACGGCCACAUUGGGACUGAGACACGGCCCAGACUCCUACGGGAGGCAGCAGUGGGGAAUAUUGCACAAUGGGGGAAACCCUGAUGCAGCGACGCCGCGUGGAGGAAGAAGGUCUUCGGAUUGUAAACUCCUGUUGUUGAGGAAGAUAAUGACGGUACUCAACAAGGAAGUGACGGCUAACUACGUGCCAGCAGCCGCGGUAAAACGUAGGUCACAAGCGUUGUCCGGAAUUACUGGGUGUAAAGGGAGCGCAGGCGGGAAGACAAGUUGGAAGUGAAAUCUAUGGGCUCAACCCAUAAACUGCUUUCAAAACUGUUUUUCUUGAGUAAUGCAGAGGUAGGCGGAAUUCCCGGUGUAGCGGUGGAAUGCGUAGAUAUCGGGAGGAACACCAGUGGCGAAGGCGGCCUACUGGGCACCAACUGACGCUGAGGCUCGAAAGUGUGGGUAGCAAACAAGGAUUAGAUACCCUGGUAGUCCACACCGUAAACGAUGAUAAAGGGGUGUGGAGGAAUGGCCCCCUCAGUGCCGCAGUUAACACAAUAAGUAAUCCACCUGGGGAGUACGACCGCAAGGUUGAAACUCAAAGGAAUUGACGGGGGCCCGCACAAGCAGUGGAGUAUGUGGUUUAAUUCGACGCAACGCGAAGAACCUUACCAAGUCUUGACAUCCUGCGACGCACAUAGAAAUAUGUGUUUCCUUCGGGACGCAGAGACAGGUGGUGCAUGGUUGUCGUCAGCUCGUGUCGUGAGAUGUUGGGUUAAGUCCCGCAACGAGCGCAACCCUUACUGUCAGUUACUACGCAAGAGGACUCUGGCAGGACUGCCGUUGACAAAACGGAGGAAGGUGGGGAUGACGUCAAAUCAUCAUGCCCUUUAUGACUUGGGCUACACACGUACUACAAUGGCGUAAACAAAGGGAAGCAAAGCUGUGAAGCCGAGCAAAUCUCAAAAAUAACGUCUCAGUUCGGACUGUAGUCUGCAACCCGACUACACGAAGCUGGAAUCGCUAGUAAUCGCAGAUCAGAAUGCUGCGGUGAAUACGAUCCCGGGUCUUGUACA